CGCGGCCUAUCAGCUUGUUGGUGAGGUAAUGGCUCACCAAGGCGACGACGGGUAGCCGGCCUGAGAGGGCGACCGGCCACACUGGGACUGAGACACGGCCCAGACUCCUACGGGAGGCAGCAGUGGGGAAUAUUGCACAAUGGGCGAAAGCCUGAUGCAGCGACGCCGCGUGAGGGAUGACGGCCUUCGGGUUGUAAACCUCUUUCAGCAGGGAAGAAGCGAAAGUGACGGUACCUGCAGAAGAAGCGCCGGCUAACUACGUGCCAGCAGCCGCGGUAAUACGUAGGGCGCAAGCGUUGUCCGGAAUUAUUGGGCGUAAAGAGCUCGUAGGCGGCUUGUCACGUCGGGUGUGAAAGCCCGGGGCUUAACCCCGGGUCUGCAUUCGAUACGGGCAGGCUAGAGUGUGGUAGGGGAGAUCGGAAUUCCUGGUGUAGCGGUGAAAUGCGCAGAUAUCAGGAGGAACACCGGUGGCGAAGGCGGAUCUCUGGGCCAUUACUGACGCUGAGGAGCGAAAGCGUGGGGAGCGAACAGGAUUAGAUACCCUGGUAGUCCACGCCGUAAACGGUGGGAACUAGGUGUUGGCGACAUCCCACGUCGUCGGUGCCGCAGCUAACGCAUUAAGUUCCCCGCC
rnacentral:rRNA from 1 species